UGGCGUGUAGCUCAGUUGGUAGAGCGCGUGGCUGUUAACCACGAUGUCGCGGGUUCGAGUCCGGCCAUGCCAGCAA
rnacentral:tRNA from 1 species